rnacentral:misc_RNA from 1 species
CGGAACUAGCAGUGCAUUACCUAAUUUUGUAGUCUUUUUUUACUUUUAAAAGUUUAUAUUAAUACUAGUUAGUAGACUAUGUUCUUUUCAAUAUUUCUUUUUGUUGUUGUUGUUUUUGCUAAUGUUAGGCUAAAUAUGAACAUAAGAGAAUUGUAGAGAAUAGGUGAACAACGUUUUAAACUUAUGUUUAUUAAUAUUACCAUUAUUACUAUUAGCUGCUUGAUGAAACUGAUAAUUUCUAAUUGCCAUAUUUGUUGAAUGUUAAUUUGUUUAAUUUAAAAAUUAAACGCAUUCAUUCAACUAAAGAUAAGUACAAAAAAUAGUGUAUACAGUAUAUUGAUUGGUGUAUGAUUAGGCUAAUUAGAUUUAAAGCCAAUACUAACUCUUAGUUUUCGCAACACUUUUAUUGUUAAUAAGACCUCAAACAGUGAAAUUUCUUAGAAAUGGCGGCUUAAUAAAUUAGCCUAAUAUUAAUAGUAAUAUACCUUAGUAUAAUAUAUCAUGCAGUGUUUCAAUUUCACUAGUGGUACUACUACUACUGUGUACUAAAGUUUCAGUUAUAAAGAAGUGUACAUUAAUUCUUAAAGUUUAAGGUAAUGACAAUAUUCUAUAACUAAAACGUUAGUCUAGAGUCUAGAUAGACUCAGUGAGAGUGCACUUAACAACAGAAUAGUGAAAUAUAUUUACAAGUUAAAUCAUACAUUGGAGAAGCCUAUUUUCAUCAGAUAUUCAGCUGUAACCACCAAUUGUUGUAGAAGAUAAAAUGCUAGGAGUUACAUCCCCAAUUAAUACUGCAAGCCCAAAACCGAUAGAAAUACAGAGAACAAAAGAACUUGAGGAAAGCCUGAAACAAUAUGGAUUGUUUGAAACAGAUGAUGAACUAACACACAGGAUGGAAGUAUUGGGAAAGAUUAACCAGUUGGUAAAAGAUUGGAUUAAGGAAGUCAGCUUAAGAAAGAAUUUGCCUUUAAAUGUUGCUGAAAGCAUCGGUGGGAAAAUAUUUACUUUUGGGUCUUAUCGCCUUGGUGUUCAUACCAAAGGAGCUGAUAUAGAUACUUUAUGUGUUGCACCACGACACAUUUACAGGUCAGACUUCUUCACCUCAUUUGUGGAAUUGUUAAAAGAGCAGCCUGAAGUUCAAGAUCUCAGGGCAGUUGAAGAAGCUUACGUUCCUGUGAUAAAAAUGAAAUUUGAUGGUAUUGAGUUGGAUAUGCUGUUUGCAAGAUUAGAGCUGAAAGCUAUUCCAGAAGAUCAAACUUUGCGAGAUGUGAAUCUUUUGAAAAAUUUGGACCCACGAUGUGUCAGAAGUCUCAAUGGUUGCAGAGUAACUGAUGAAAUUCUUAACCUUGUUCCAUGUAUUGAAAGUUUCAGGCUUUCUUUAAGAGCUAUUAAGCUGUGGGCCAAACGUCAUGGAGUUUAUUCUAAUGUGUUAGGUUACCUUGGUGGAGUGUCGUGGGCCAUGCUUGUUGCUAGGACUUGUCAACUUUAUCCAAAUGCUGCUGCAGCUACUCUAGUUCAAAAAUUCUUCUUGGUUUUUUCUCAAUGGCCGUGGCCAAAUCCAGUGUUACUGAAGCAACCUGAAGAAAAUAAACUAGGUUUUGUAGUAUGGGAUCCUAGGAUAAAUGUAGCAGACCGUUUUCAUCUCAUGCCCAUCAUCACUCCAGCGUAUCCUCAGCAGAAUUCAACCUUUAACGUUUCAAGCUCAACAAAGGAAGUGAUGCAAGAUGAAUUCAAGCAAGGUUUGGCAAUAACAGAUGACAUUAUGUUUGGAAAAGCAGAAUGGACAAAACUAUUUGAGCCUUCAAAUUUUUUCCUUAAAUAUAGGCAUUUCAUUGUUCUGCAAGCCACAGCAUCAUCUAAGGAUCAUCAUCUAGAAUGGCAUGGUUUAGUGGAAUCCAAGAUUCGUAUACUUAUUAACAACCUCGAAAAACACCCAUCUAUAGCAUUAGCGCAUAUCAACCCUGAAUCUCACUGCUCUUCAGAAUCAGAGGCAGAUACGUUUCAGUCCUUGUGGUUUAUUGGACUUCAAUUUGCCAAGACAGAAAAUCUCAACGUGGAUCUCACCUCUGAUAUUCAGUCUUUCACUGACACGGUCAUGCGACAAGCAACACAGAUAAACCUGUACAAGCCUGGAAUGAAGAUAGAAGCUAAACAUGUGAAACGGAAAGAAUUGAGCAGAUACCUACCAUCAAGUAUUUUAGUGAAACAAAAGAAGGCCCACAACAUGCCCUUGUUUUCUAACACACCACCUGAGAACAGCCUGAAGACCACCCCUAUACCAGAAUUUAAUGAAGACUCCAAUAAUACAUCUCAACAGAAUCAGUCUGUUUCUGAUCUUGCUCACACAUUGGAUACCAAAACACCAUCAGUUAAAAUGCAUAACAGAUCAAGUAUGGGUGUGCCAGACUUUGUUAGUUCUUCGGUUACCUCGGGACUGAAAAGAUCUCUAGAAUCUUCAGAUUUAAACUCUGAAAUCAAAAGAUUUCACUGUGAAAACUUAAACAAUAUAACUGCAGGAAACAAUUGCCAGGAUUCCUGUGUACCAUUUCUGGAAAAAUAUACUAGUAAACCUGAAGAAAGCCCUAAAAACUUCCAGAUAAGUGGAUUAGAAACAAAAUCUGUUGCUGGAAGCAAUCUUAAUACUUCUACACAGUCAAGGGAAAAUUUUGUAAAGGAGUUUGCUGAUACAAGCAUGGACUCUUCUAAUGUAAACAAUGGUUUAAAUGAGGUUGGUGGUACUACUCUACACUGCUUGACAGUGGUGUUCUCAAGUCUGAAGAUUUAUUGAGCAUCAUUCUUUUUGUGUGUAUGAAAGCAUACUUGUCUAGAGAGAUAACAUGUUAUUUUAAACAUCUUUCAUAAAACUGGAAUUAUUUUCCAUCAAAGUUCUGCCAAUAUUAUUAUAAGUAUUUUAUUAUUUACCCAUGAUUUUAAUUAAUCUUACACUACAGUUGGAAUGAGUACUCCCUAAGUACUUGUACUGCUUAUAGAAUGUUAUCACUACUUAUUUUAAUAGAAAUUUUGAAAAGUGAACACAUCUUUUACCUAUAAAACCAUUGUAAACAAAAGAUAUGAAUUACAUUAUUGUUUAUGGCUUUGUGGUUAUUUUCCAUGUGUUUUAGACAUCUGGUGUAGAAGAUGUGGACAACCUCUGAAAGCUGUGUCAAAACCUGCUAUGGUAAUACCUGAUGACAGUAUGGUUAGGAGUGGUUCUGGAUUGACAUGGACUAUUUAUCAUCAUUUUAUCCUGAGUUCAAAGCAGAAGAAAUCAGUCUGCUUGAGUUAUGAAGAAUUAUUUGGAAGAUGUAAUUGAUGGAUGAUUUUUUGAAACUGAGUGCUGUAUUUAUUUGUUUUUCCACAGUAAAAACUUUGUGAUUGCUGUAAUGGUGUAUGAUUUUUAAGGGUAAAUAAAGUUUAUCUUCUUCAA